UUGUCUGGAAGAGGGGUGUGUUGGCGCCAUAAUCAAAAGAGUCCACUAGGGGGACUAGUUCGCUCUUCUCUACACUCAAUACAAGAGUAAGUGAAAGCGCACUGAUUUCAUCUUGUGGUCAUUUCUUCUCUUACAUUUGUCCUUUUAUAAGCCGAGUGACAGCAACCGGCAGGGGCGAAAGAAGAAUGCGAUUCUGUUUGACGUGCCGAAAUCCAGUUUCAUCCCCCGCUGUCUGCCUGAGAGCAGCCGAGAUAUGGAUGGAGAGGGGAGAUAAGUGGAGCGUAAAUGUUUCUUUACCACAUCUUAUGUUCUUGGACAGUCACACUUCAUCCCUCUCUAUCUCCUACCAUCUCUGUGCACCAACCUCCAGGCCUGGGAGGCGCUCCAAAUGAAGCUCUCAGACAUCCUGAACAAAUUAAGCAUCGUUAAAGAUGAAAUGUUGCUGCUGAAGAUGCUAUCGGGACGAUAAACCAAAGCCAGCAACCACUUAGAAAACCGUGAGAAGCCUGUUCCUGGUUAGACAAAGAUAACAAGCGACAAGAUAAAUUCAUAAACCUUUUUCUGUUUUAUAGGCCGACUUUGUGUUUAUUUUUCUAAACCCAUUUUUAGGGCUACCACAGUUCUCAAUGUAGUACCUCAAUUUUCAAGAGGCAGUGUUGUGUGAAAUCAGCUUUCUUGAGCUAUAACUUACGUUAUGAUGGCAUUUCUUCAUCAAAAACAUACCUAGAGUAGUGUUGUCAUUCUUUUAUGGUUGUUUGAGAAAUUGUUGACUCUCCACUGGUACCUGUUCUGGGAGCAGAAAAAGUUGUGUAACUUGAGUGCUGCGUUUUUGACGGAGCUGCAGACUCCAAGCAGCAACCCUCCCCAAGCCGAGCUUGCCCAAGGAAUAAGCAAACUCAGCUGCUGCUUAGGGCCUCCACACUGUGAGGGGGGGGUCCCAUAAUUCAUAACACAGAUCAUAAAUCAAAUUAGUUUUUUUAUAUGCAUUGAGAAUAAAAAUACUAUUAAUUUUUAUUUGACAAUUUCACCUCAAAUGAGAGCAAAGAUUUAAAUUUGCUGAAAAUUGAUUUAAGUUUCAAAUGAAUUGGCAAAUUUAUGAAAGUGAAAAUGUCCCCAGUGCAUUAUUCUAGUCAAAGAAGGUUCAUCAGUGAUGUUAAGUUAAUGGUUUUGUUCUUUGGAAAUAUCUGAGAUUUAAUGAUAUUCCUUUUGUAGAUAAAAACCAGUUGGUCUUACUCAUCUUAAAAGAAUGAAAAGUCUGUAAAAUCCUGAAGUGCAUUUAUGUGUUGCGCAAAUUCCUUUUUGGGGACUAAAACCUCAGUGAAGAAACUUCUUCAGAUCUUGCCAGGAAAGGGACACUAAAUAAGCCCACCAAAUUGUUUUUCUCUAAAACAAGAAUUUUAAAUAUCAAGCAAAACCUUUGUUUUCUGUGUUCCAGCAAACCAAACUUUCAAAGGAACGUAUAACAUUGGGAUGUUUCCACAUGUUUCCAAUACAGACAAGUGUGGUCUGUCUUAAUGAAAGCCAGAGCAAUAGCUAAUUGACUUUGUUCACAUUUUUUUUUCAUCUUCAAAAAUAAUACAAAGUGAAAAAAACAACUUAUUAUUGUCAACUGGAGGUACAUAAACUGUGAACGCAAGACAGAUGGGAAUUUAAAUCCAAGUUUGUACAUAAAACAUAGGAAGCCUGUUUCUAAGCAUGCAGUAUAAUAAAAACCGUUACUUCACGAAGCAUAAA